CCUACGGGAGGCAGCAGUGAGGAAUAUUGGUCAAUGAGCGGAAGCCUGAACCAGCGAAGUCGCGUGAGGGAUUAAGGCCCUGCGGGUCGUAAACCUCUUUUGCCGGGGAGCAGUGGUCCGGACGCGACCGGACCGGGAGAGUCCCCGGAGAAAAAGCAUCGGCUAACUCCGUGCCAGCAGCCGCGGUAGUACGGAGGAUGCGAGCGUUAUCGGGAUUUAUUGGGUUUAAAGGGUGCGUAGGCGGGCAUUUAAGCCUGCGGUCAAAUGGCGGGGCUCAACCACGGCCUGCUGUCGGGACUGGGUGCCUGGAGUGGGCGAGAAGUAUGCGGAAUGCGUGGUGUAGCGGUGAAAUGCAUAGAUAUCACGCAGAACCCCGAUGGCGAAGGCAGCAUACCGGCGCCCUACUGACGCUGAGGCACGAAAGUGCGGGUAGCGAACAGGAUUAGAUACCCUAGUAGUC
rnacentral:rRNA from 1 species